rnacentral:rRNA from 1 species
UACGGGGGGGGCAAGCGGUUGUUCGGAAUUACUGGGCGUAAAGGGCUCGUAGGCGGCCAACUAAGUCGGAUGUGAAAUCCCCAGGCUUAACCUGGGAACUGCAUCCGAUACUGGAUGGCUUGAAUCCGGGAGAGGGAUGCAGAAUUCCAGGUGUAGCGGUGAGAUGCGUAGAUAUCUGGAGGAACACCGGUGGCGAAGGCGGCAUCCUGGACCAACACUGACACUGGGGAGCGAAAGCCAGGGGAGCAAACGGG